AGUGUGGUCAUGGGGAGGGAACAGCAGGAGAAUAAGACACAAGCUUUCCCAGCAGUCUGCAACGCUCGUUAUUUCUCAACAUCAGCUGAAAGAGACCCUAACCUACAAAAUCAUCUGAAGGAACUCAACAGAGAGUACAGGGCACGACUUGCAUGCUUUAUUCAGAACGUGAUGACUGCAACGUGAGAUGAUCCUGGCCCUCCCUGAACACACUUUAAAGGCCGGACCCCUUGAGGGCCACUUCAGUCCCGCAGGGGCCGAACUGAGAGAGAGCUACACAGACUGAGAGAGGACAAAGCCUGCCUGAGGAGGGCAAACUCAAACUGGCUCGGGAACAGAACCAUCAACUCAGGACUCGUUUGCAGUUCUCCAAAUCUCAGAAACUAACCCUUAUUGAUGACCUUAAAAGUCCAGAAGAUUUGGUAGUAGUAAUUUUUAAUUAAUUUGAGAUUUUUUGUUUCUUAAAAUAGGUGCUAAUUUUCUUUGAACUGCUGUCUCUUCUAGAA